rnacentral:rRNA from 1 species
AGUGAACGCUGGCGGCGUGCCUAAUACAUGCAAGUCGAACGGAGUGGCGCCCGGGUGAGUAAUAUAUAGCUAACUUGCCCAUUACUAAGGGACAACAGUUGGAAACGACUGCUAAUAACUUAUAGUAAUGGAUAGGGCUAUAUCGUAUCAGAUAGUUGGUAAGGUAACGGCUUACUCAGGCUAUGACGCGUAACUGGUCUAUGAGGAUGAGCAGUCAAAUUGGAAGGUAGACACGGGCCAGACUCCUACGGGAGGAAGCAGUAGGGAAGAUGGCUCAAUGGGGGAGACCCUGAAACAGCAACGCCGCGUGGAGGAGGACACGUUUCGGAGCGUAAACUCCUUUUAUUGGGAAAGCGGUACCCAAGGAAUAAGCACCGGCUAACUCCGUGCCAGCAGCCGCGGUAAUAC